GCCAGUGUAGUGUAGUAGAUUGAGCAUGGGACUACGACUCUGGAGGUCAGGGUUCAAUUCCCUGCUUGGACA